AAGCCUUGACAUCCGGCCGGAAGCAUAUGUAAUGUAUGUGCCCUACGGGGCGGCCGAGACAGGUGGUGCAUGGUUGUCGUCAGCUCGUGUCGUGAGAUGUUGGGUUAAGUCCCGCAACGAGCGCAACCCCUGCCCUUAGUAGCCAGCGGGAGAGCCGGGCACUCUAGGGGGACUGCCAGGGACAACCUGGAGGAAGGCGGGGAUGACGUCAAAUCAUCAUGCCCCUUAUGGCUUGGGCUACACACGUGCUACAAUGGCGCCGACAGAGGGAAGCGAGGCCGCGAGGCGGAGCGAACCCCAAAAAGGGCGCCCCAGUUCGGAUUGCAGCCUGCAACUCGGCUGCAUGAAGCUGGAAUCGCUAGUAAUCGCGGAUCAGAAUGCCGCGGUGAAUACGUUCCCGGGUC
rnacentral:rRNA from 1 species